UACGUAGGUGGCAAGCGUUGUCCGGAUUUACUGGGCGUAAAGCGUAUGCAGGCGGACGGUUAAGUAGGAAGUGAAAGGGUGGAGCUCAACUCCGCCACUGCUCCCUAUACUGGCUGUCUUGAGUGCCGGAGAGGAUAAUGGAACUCCACGUGUAGCGGUGAAAUGCGUUGAGAUGUGGAGGAACACCAAUGGCGAAAGCAAUUAUCUGGACGGAUACUGACGCUGAGAUACGAAAGCCAGGGGAGCAAACGGG
rnacentral:rRNA from 1 species